AUUGAACGCUGGCGGCAGGCCUAACACAUGCAAGUCGAGCGGAUGAAUGGAGCUUGCUCCUGGAUUCAGCGGCGGCCGGGUGGGUCAUGCCUAGGAAUCUGCCUGGUCGUGGGUGAUAACGUCCGGAAACGGGCGCUAAUACCGCAUACGUCCUGAGGGAGAAAGUGGGGGAUCUUCGGACCUCACGCUAUCCGAUGAGCCUAGGUCGGUUGCGCUAGUUGGUGGGGUAAACGCCUGACAAGGCUACGAUCCGUAACUGGUCUGAGAGCAUGACCAGUCAGCCUGUAACUGAGAAAGGGCCCAGACUCCUACGCGAGGCAGCAGUGGGGACUCUUGGACGAGGGGCGAAAGCCUGAUCCAGCCAUGCCGGGGGUGUGAAGAAGGUCUUCGGAUUGGAAAGCACUUUAAGUUGGGAGGAAGGGCAGUAAGUUAAUACCUUGCUGUUUUGACGUUACCCAGAGAAGAAGCCCCGGCUAACUUCGUG
rnacentral:rRNA from 1 species